UACGGGGGGAGCAAGCGUUGUUCGGAUUUACUGGGCGUAAAGAGCUCGUAGGCGGUUUGUCGCGUCUGCCGUGAAAGUCCGGGGCUCAACUCCGGAUCUGCGGUGGGUACGGGCAGACUAGAGUGAUGUAGGGGAGACUGGAAUUCCUGGUGUAGCGGUGAAAUGCGCAGAUAUCAGGAGGAACACCGAUGGCGAAGGCAGGUCUCUGGGCAUUAACUGACGCUGAGGAGCGAAAGCAUGGGGAGCGAACAGG
rnacentral:rRNA from 1 species